ACCCGGAAGCGGAGAGAGGGGCGCAGCCCUUGUUUUUUCUGUCACGACUGGGUAUUUUAGACGCCCCUCAAGUCCCCGAUCCGCCACAUCCGAGGUUCAGGGGUCGUCACGUACGUUAAGACCCCUUCAACCACUCGUUCCGCGCUCGGACCAUCUUCUCAAGACCAGGCUUCGCCUGAGGAAGAAACCUAGAAGAGGAGGAAGAAGAAAGAAAAGGAGUCAGGCAUGGCUCUUUCUCAGGCACAGGUGACCGUCAAGGAUGUGGCCAUCGAAGUCUCUCAGGAGGAGUGGGAAUUCCCGGACCCUGCUCAGAGGACCUUGUACCGGGACGUGAUGGUGGAGACCUACAGGAACCUGCUGUCUGUGGGUCUGUUGCUAUGACAGAGGACCCACUGGAUUCUGAGAAACCAAUGUUCUACCAGUCGAGUGUGAAACAGAGCAGCCAUUAAGAGACUGAGAUAUUCUUGACAAUAGCAUGAUAUGUUAGUAGGGAUUGCUUUCUGUGGUAGAAAUAAUGGAGAGGAAAUCACGGUCAUCCUCUCUUUUCAAAGAAAGUAACUGUUGUAUGUCAAAGAUGAGGGAAGAAUUAGUCUUACUCUUAGUGACUAAAGAUAGCAGUUAUCUGGGACAUCCCUGGUGGUCCAGGGCUUCCCUGGUGGCUCAGACUAUAAAGAAUCUGCCUGUAUUGCAGGAGACCUGGGUUCGAUCCCUGGGUCGGGAAGAUCCCCUGGAGGAGGGCAUGGCAACCCACUCCAGUAUUUUUGCUUGGGAAUUCCAUGGACAAGGAGCCUGAUGGGCUAUAGUCCAUGGAGUCACAAAGUGUCAGACAUGACUGAGCAACUAACACCUCAAACUUCCCUGGUGGUCCAGUGGCUAAGACUCCUUGCUUCCAAUGCAGGGGGCCCAGGUUUGAUCCCUGGUCAAGGAACUAGAUCCCCCUUGCUGCAAAAAGAUCCUGUAAAUAAAUUCAAAAAAGAGAAAUCAGUUAUCAGAGAGGAAAACUUAAUCAAAACACCCAGAAUGCACUAUACAUGUGUAAGAUUCAUGUUUAACCACUGUAUCACUAUGAUACUAUUUUAUUCAGAAUGUGUCAUAGUUGUCAUGCUUUAUUAAUAAAAUUUAAUCAUUGUAAAACUCUAAAUGAAGUUUUUUCUAUCUUAUCAAGCCUAUCCACCUCACUGUGGUACUUCAUAACAAAUACUAACAAUACAUCUGUAGGCAGUCAGGUUGAAAGGCACCUGUAACAAUUUCUUUGCAUGAUGGAAUCAAACAACAUACAAUCUUAUGAAUAUAUAUUCAUAACUUCCUUGAGUUUUUUUUUUUUUUUUAUCUACACUCCACCCCGUGCAUAUUUACGUGCCUAUGAAUAAAUACCACAGCAGUACAACUUUAGACUAUGGCUUCCCAGGUGGCACUAGUGGUAAAGAACCCAUCUGCCAAUGCAGGAGACGUAAGAGAUGUGGGUUUGAUCCCUGGGUCAGGAAGAUCCCCUGAAGAAGAAAAUGGCAAGUAUUCUUGCUUGGAGAAUUCCGUGGACAGAGGAGCCUGGUGGGCUACAGACCAUGGGGUCCCAAAGAGUCAUACAGCUGAAGCGACUUAGCAUGCACACAUUGCCCUCUUUAAUGUUUGAAGUACUAUUUGUAAAUGUGUACCAAUGAUUGUAUUUCAACAUGCCCUUUUUUUGUGUGCCUGUGUAAGACCCGUGGCUUGCACUGGCCUUGAUUUGUGCUUAGUCACUGAGUCGUGUCCGACUCUUUGUGACCCCAUGGACUGUAGCCUACCAGGCUCCUCUGUCCUUGGGAUUCUCCAGGCAAGAAUACUGGAGUGGGCUGCCAUUUCCUUCUCCAAGGCCUUGAUUUCCAUGAGGUCAACAUUAAUAGUGUAGCAUAUGUAAUGGGAUUGAAUUACAGCUGAGGAAUUGGUAUAGGAAAACCCAACCUAGGGAACUUUCCUGGUGGUCCAGUGGUUAAGAAUCCACCUGCCAAUGUAGGGGAGGUGGGUUCGAUCCCAGAUCUGGGAAGAUCCCACGUGCCUUGGGGCGACUAAGCCCAUGCACCACAACUAUUGAGCCUUCCCACUGCAGCUACUGAGCCCUGUCCCGCAACUGCUGAAGCAUGCGUGCCCUCGAACCCGUGCCCUGCACCAAGAGAAGAGCCUGCACAGCAACCAAGACCCAGCACAGCCAUAGAUAAAUAAAUAAUCUUUUUUUUUGAAAGGGAACUGACAGUGAGCCUGACUUACCAUUUGCCCCAAAGAGGAACAUCUUUAUUUACCCAUAGAGCAAACAAAUCUAUGCACUGUCCCAGAGGGUGACCCUGUACCUUUUUCCCCAAAGCUGUUUUUCAGGCAAACAGGAAAAAAACUGUCUAUAAGACAGGCCCAUACAUGAGAAAUCCAUAAUUGUCUUCCAACAAUGUCUGUCCCUUGUUUCUUUGCCAUAUUCACUGCUGGCAAACAUUCGCACAUGUACACCAGAUGGUCGACUGUUCUUUUUUCCUGACACAUAAGACCAGAUCUAUUUGUUUGCCUCAAGCAACAUUUGAUUAAGUUUAAUAUCUACAGGAUACUAUGUAUCAGGAUGAGGCUUAAUUCACCCCAGUACAGCAAUGUAGGGGACUUCCCUGGUGGCUCAGACAAUAAAGAAUAUCUGCAAUUCAGGAGACCCGCGUUUGAUCCCUGGGUCAGGAAGAUCCCCUGGAGAAUGGAAUGGCAACCCACUCCAGUAUUCUUGCCUAGAGAAUUCCAUGGACAGAGGAUACUGAUGGGCUACAGUCCAUAGGGUCAUAAAGAGUUGGACACGACUGAGUGACUAAUACUUUCACAUUUCAUAGCGAUGUAGGUUCCACACUGAACCAGCUGUAAAGCUCAAUACCCAUUAGCAUGGAUUUUAUUUUUUAAUUAAAAAUCUUUUAAAGGAUGACUGUUUUAAAAAAGUUAAUUACAGAUUUUAUUAAACCCAAAUGGCCAUUCACAUAUAAUCAAUACACUGUGACUUUUUUUUUGGUCAUGCCUUUCAGCUUGCAGGAUCUUAGUUCCCUGAUAAGGGAUCAAACCCGCUGCCUGGCAGUGGAAGUGUGGAGUCUGAACUACUGGACUCCCAGCGAAGUUCCACAAGCAUGUCUAUUAGAAAGACUUUUGAUUUUUCCCUAAGUUUCUGCAUUAACAUUCUCAAGUGAUGAGUGAAUAGACAAUGGAUUAUUGUGCAAAAACUAGCAAUUUACAUAAUUCUGACUAAAAGUGACAGCUUUUGUAUUCAUUAUCCACGCAAAGUAGAGCCUGGGUGUCGUGGAGUCAAGUCUCUUGAGCAGAAAGGGGCUAAUCGUUGAAAAACACAGAAAUUAGGGCAGAAGUUUUCAGGAACCACCAAUUGGGAUUAUGAAAAACAAAGUAAGGAAUGUGAAAGAUGGAGGAAAGGGUGUAAAAAAAGAUACAAAGGUGCUCACAAGAACAAGGAUGUUCUGGGUAGCUCUGGACUCAGCAGAGGAUCUGGGAGACACUCUCUUCCUAGCAAUGUGUUGGACUCAUUGUUUGUGUCUGUGUACGAUGAUAACAAUGAAGCCUCUGGUCCAGAUUGUGAGCACAAAAAAUACAGCUUCAGGGACCACUGUCA